rnacentral:rRNA from 1 species
AUACGGAGGGUCCAAGCGUUAUCCGGAAUCAUUGGGUUUAAAGGGUCCGCAGGCGGUCAAUUAAGUCAGAGGUGAAAGCCCAUCGCUCAACGAUGGAACUGCCUUUGAUACUGGUUGACUUGAGUUAUACGGAAGUAGAUAGAAUAAGUAGUGUAGCGGUGAAAUGCAUAGAUAUUACUUAGAAUACCGAUUGCGAAGGCAGUCUACUACGUAUAUACUGACGCUGAGGGACGAAAGCGUGGGGAGCGAACAGGAUUAGAAACCCGUGUAGUCC